AGUUUUGUUGGGGCACAGCUCUGAUACUAUAAAUUCUAAAGUGAUCUGAUGAAGCUUAAAAUCAUUUUUCUAUUUCACCCAAUUAUGACCAAAAAAAAAUUCAUAUAUCUUAAAAUACCAAGAAUAAGUAGGCUACUACCCUGAUGCCUGUAGUUCAAUAUAACCGCUAUUAAUUACUAGAGUAGUUGUGCUUUUAGGCUAAGUUUUGAAACCAAAAUAUGCAUAAAAAGAAGCAAACUAAUUAUUAAAACAGUGAUCUCUAUAUACCUUGAAAACUUGUUGCCAUUUAAAAUUUUAAAAGCCAACUGGCAACACAGAGCCUAUUUAAAUGCAAAAUAUUUCCUAAUAUUCCACGAAAACGCUAACAUUUCAAAAAUGAUGACCCACGAUAGAUUUCAAUAUUUCAAAGUGGAGCAUAUUUCUCUCUCAGGCUCCACGGCAAGAAUGAAAACAAUCCUUUUAAAGGAAGUUCUUUUCCAAUCAAUUGUGCAUAUUUUCUGACUGCAAUUCAUCUUUAAUUCUGAGAUGUGUCCUCGACAAAACCUUUGCAGCAUUAAGCCACACAUAUGUAACAGAAACUCUGCGUACGAACAACUUGGCCAGGCGCGACAGGCCCGCCUCUCCUUCCUACCCCCACCCAAUACCUUCCCUGGGCAGUGACUUCACAUCCUUUGACAUCAGCACAGCUUUGAAAGGGGGAUGGGAGAGCGAGCAGAAAGCAGAAAAACCAGCUUUGAACUAUGCAUGCAAGGCCUCUUUCAAGCCUCAAAUUCUAUAAGGACGGCUUGAGCCAGGGCAGUUCAGGAAACACUUGAGGAGCAGAGGCAGCAGGGCGCUGGACCAGACAGAGGACGGGAAUGUCCAAGAAGUGGUCUCUGUGUGCGGUAAUGAGCCGAGAUUACAGCUGGCAGCUGGAAACUAAACCCCAUGGGUGCCACCCAGAGAGAGCUGAGACUGACCAUGGAGUAACGGCCAAGGUCAUGUGUGUAGCCCCGGGCCAUGGAGAGGGGGUACCCUGGAGGGGCUGGGCUGGCUGGCUGGGCUCAGGCUGUCUGACAGGCAACGGGCUCCCCAGUGUUCUGAAGAGGGAGUGGCCCUGGUGGUAACUCUCUGUGGCUUAGAGGGGCUGAAGCUAGAACACCGCUGUGACUCCGGGCCCGCUGGUUCCCUGAGGGCAAGGGCCACCUUGGGUCAUCGCUCUGAACACCUUCCCCUUGCUCUGAGAAGCACAGAUGGCCAGUGUGAACUGCCUCAGCAAUCCAGGGACUGUGUCCUCUCAUUAAGAUAUCAUGGCAAAUCACGAGAAGACACAAAAAUCAAAACAUGCAAGAGAAGAAAAGACUAAUGAAAGCAGAGAUUCCCUGCGCGGCUCUUUCUAAGCUGACUAGAAGAGCAGCAGGCACUCCGAUAACUUCCGCACAGUCCAUUUUUAUUAUUCUUCAACUAACAGGCAAGAAGCCAAAGUUCCUGUAAAUAUAUGCAUAAUUCAUUUGUAGGCAGUUAAACCUCUACUUUUAUGGUAAAGCUUUCAAUUGUAUCAGAAAAUAGGCAGGGCGCAGUGGCUCUCAUGGCUGUAAUCCUAGCACUUUGGGAGGCGGAGGUGGGUGGAUCACUUGAGCCCAGGAGUUCGAGACCAGCCUGGGCAACAUGGUGGAACCCCGUCUCUACUAAAAAUACAAAAAUUAGCUGUGCGUGGUGGUGCGCACCUGUGGUCCCAGCUACUUGGAAGGCUGAGCUGGGAGGACUGCUUGAGCCUGGGAGGUCCAGGCUGCAGUGAGCUGACAUUGUGCCACUGCACUCCAGCCUGGGUGACAGAGCGAAACCGUGUCUCAAAAAAGAAAAUAAACUGCUUUGAAUGAGGGUGAAGUAUUGUAUUUGCAUGAGAGGAGAGCAAGAGAUAUAAAAUAUUUAACUGGUAUUCAAAAGCCAAUUUUAAACAAUUCAAGUAAAUUCUAACAAUAAUGUAAUGACUUCUUUCACAAAAGACCAAAUACUCGGCAACUCUUUUGCCCCAGGGUCUCUAGUUAGUUAGCCGAUAAUAAGUCCUACAUUAUUCUGCUAUAACUUUGACUUCUCCUAGUCUUUUCUUUUCUAAAAAUGGCCUCAAAAAACAAGUCCAUGAUUAAUUUACUCUUCCUAUAAGUAUCUUAAAAAAAAAAGGUCUCUUUAUUUAACACUUCCACCUUCCAGUCCAAAAAUGUUAAAUGAAGGCAUUAAUUCAGAAUAAUCUUACAAUGAACAGGUCUGAGGGCUAUAUUCAACCUCACUGGUUAAAAAAAAAUAAAAAUAUGAAAUACCUUUUUCUACUUAUCAAAUAACUACAACUUUUACAUGAUCUCAGCAUUGGAGAGGUAUGAUGGACAGGCAUCUCACAUACUCUGUAUGUGGUGCUACUCUCUGGAAAGUGUGUAGACAAUAUCUAUUAAGGGUUUUUGAAAAUGCCUGCUCUUUGAUCCAGUACCUCCUUCAUCAAGCUUAAGGAAAGGUUCAAAGAUGUGAACAACAACGAUAACAAAAGAUUAACAGAACAGUAUCAUUUAUAAUAGCUGAAAAACUGGGGUAUCCACAGAAUGAAAUAAUAAACGGUUGCUAAAAA